AUGGGGAAUGGGUCACAUGCUUCUGUUCGUGGCAUUGGCACGGUGGAUCUGAAGUUUACUUCGGGAAAGAUCGUGCAACUAAGGAACGUGCAGCAUGUCCCUACUAUGAACAAGAAUCUAGUUAGCGGCUCCCUUCUAUGUCGAGAUGGAUUUAAGGUAGUUUUAGAGUCCAAUAAAGUAAUCGUGUCAAGAUUUGGACAAUUUAUAGGAAAAGGCUAUGAGUGCGGAGGCUUGUUCCGCUUUUCUCUUUCAGAUUUUUGCAAUAAGUCAAUAAACCAAAUUUGUGCUAGUGUUAAUGAUGAUGCAAGUAUUUGGCACUCUCGUUUAUGUCAUAUUAAUUUUGGUUUAAUGUCUCGGCUAUCCAACAUGAGUUUAAUUCCGAACUUCACAGUUGCCAAAGGUUCUAACUGCCAUAGUUGUGUGCAAUCUAAGCAACCUCGAAAGCCUCAUAAGGCUGCCGAGGAGAGAAACUUGGCACCUCUAGAACUCAUACAUUCUGAUCUUUGUGAGAUGAAUGGUGUGUUGACAAAAGGUGGAAAGAGAUAUUUCAUGACUUUGAUUGAUGAUGCGACUAGAUUUUGCUAUGUUUAUUUGUUGCAAACUAAAGAUGAAGCAUUAGACUACUUUAAAAUCUAUAAAGCUGAAGUUGAAAAUCAACUAGAGAGAAAGAUCAAGCGUCUUAGGUCCGAUCGUGGUGGAGAGUAUUUUCCAAAAGUUUUUAAUGAAUUUUGUGAGGAACAUGGUAUUAUUCAUGAGAGGACGCCUCCCUAUUCACCUCAAUCAAAUGGAGUGGCCGAGAGGAAAAACCGCACAUUGACUGACUUGGUGAAUGCCAUGUUAGACACUGCUGGUUUAUCUAAGGCAUGGUGGGGGGAGGCUCUAUUGACUUCAUGUCAUGUCCUGAAUAGAGUUCCCAACAAUAAUAAGGAGAAAACCCCUUAUGAGGAGUGGGUUGGGAGAAAACCAUCACUUUAUUAUUUGCGCACUUGGGGAUGUUUGGCAAAGGUCAAUAUUCCUAUUCCUAAGAAACGCAAACUUGGACCAAAGACAGUGGAUUGUGUCUUCUAG
rnacentral:rRNA from 1 species